UGAAAUGCCGUGAUGGGGAAGAGUACAUGAACAUUUCCUUCAGAGAGGAAGACAAACGCUGAGAGUUUUCCAGGAAUCCUGUUGAUGGAAGUCGCCCUUGAUGCAGCUUCUUUGAAAAUUCAGUAGAAGAAGCCGGUUAGAAGCCGUUAUUUUAGUCGAGUGUACAGGAUGCGUAUGUCCUGUAAAUUAAGGUGGUACCACGGAAAUCAAUCCCUUUCGUCCUUAUC
rnacentral:ncRNA from 1 species